UACGUAGGGUGCAAGCGUUUAAUCGGAAUUACUGGGCGUAAAGCGUGCGCAGGCGGCUAUGCAAGACAGAUGUGAAAUCCCCGGGCUCAACCUGGGAACUGCAUUUGUGACUGCAUGGCUAGAGUGCGGCAGAGGGGGAUGGAAUUCCGCGUGUAGGCAGUGAAAUGCGUAGAUAUGCGGAGGAACACCGAUGGCGAAGGCAAUCCCC
rnacentral:rRNA from 1 species